AUCCGAUGGAUCCAAAGGAUCCGAUGGAUCCAAAGGAUCCGAUGGAUCCAUCGGAUCCUUUGGAUCCAUCCGA
rnacentral:miRNA from 1 species